rnacentral:tRNA from 1 species
GGGCGAUUAGCUCAGUCGGUUAGAGCGCGUCUCUGAUAAGGACGAGGUCGAUGGUUCGAAUCCAUCAUCGCCCACCU